AUUGAACGCUGGCGGAAUGCUUUACACAUGCGAGUCGAACGGCAGCACGGACUUCGGUCUGGUGGCGAGUGGCGAACGGGUGAGUAAUGUAUCGGAACGUGCCCAGGCGUGGGGGAUAACGUAGUGAAAAUUACGCUAAUACCGCAUACGAUCUAUGGAUGAAAGCGGGGGAUAGCAAGACCUCGCCCGAUUGGAGCGGCCGAUAUAAGAUUAGGUAGUUGGUGGGGUAAAGGCCCACCAAGCCAACGAUCUGUAGCUGGUCUGAGAGGACGACCAGCCACACUGGAACUGAGACACGGUCCAGACUCCUACGGGAGGCAGCAGUGGGGAAUUUUGGACAAUGGGCGAAAGCCUGAUCCAGCCAUUCCGCGUGCAGGAUGAAGGCCCUCGGGUUGUAAACUGCUUUUGUACAGAACGAAAAGGUUUCUACUAAUACUAGGAGCUCAUGACGGUACUGUAAGAAUAAGCACCGGCUAACUACGUGCCAGCCGCCGCAGUAA
rnacentral:rRNA from 1 species